AUUGAACGCUGGCGGAAUGCUUUACACAUGCAAGUCGAACGGUAGAGGGGGGCAACCCCUUGAGAGUGGCGAACGGGUGAGUAAUAUAUCGGAACGUGCCCAGUCGUGGGGAUAACGUAGCGAAAGUUACGCUAAUACCGCAUACGAUCUAAGGAUGAAAGCGGGGGAUCGCAAGACCUCGCGCGAUUGGAGCGGCCGAUAUCAGAUUAGGUAGUUGGUGAGGUAAAGGCUCACCAAGCCAACGAUCUGUAGCUGGUCUGAGAGGACGACCAGCCACACUGGAACUGAGACACGGUCCAGACUCCUACGGGAGGCAGCAGUGGGGAAUUUUGGACAAUGGACGCAAGUCUGAUCCAGCCAUUCCGCGUGCAGGAUGAAGGCCCUCGGGUUGUAAACUGCUUUUGUACGGAACGAAAAGGUUUCUAUUAAUACUAGGAGCUCAUGACGGUACCGUAAGAAUAAGC
rnacentral:rRNA from 1 species